GACAAUCCGCGGUUUCUAAGCUCUUCCCAGCUCAAAAGUUGAUUUACAGCUCAGGUUGUAAAACGGUUUUUACGAGCCUUGCGCGUCCGUCAUUGGGUAUCACAGAUGAGACGCGCCACGGGCUCGCGGUGAUAUUGCCCCUCUCUUUCCUUCCCACGCGCUCUGUUGCACAGGAAAGCCCAGUACGAGGACGAUUGUCUGCAGUUCUGUCUGUUUUAUCAUUUAAGUAUAGUGCAGUAUAGUUUAUUAUAAUUUUUUUAAAAGCCUAGGCUAUAUUGUUUUUAUUUUUUGUCUUACGUUUUGUUUUACUAUUUUAAUUUUCUUUCUCUUUUAAAUAUAAUCAGUAUACCCUACUUGAAUGCAGGGGAAAUGUAUUUUAAAAAGGGCGUUUUUGUAUCAAACGAGAACAGGGUAAGAUGCCCCUACUCUGCUCAAGCCUGG